AAAGUAAAAAUGAACAAAUUGUUUAACAAAUUUUUUUUAGGAUAAUAAUAUCCAAGGAAGUACAAACACAAUCAUAAGUUUAAUUCAUCAAUUAUAGAAAAAUUAAAAUUAAGACUAGGUUGAACUAACUCGAUCUUCCCACUCCUCACUCUCCUCAUUGGAGCUCUGUCGUAUCUUGAAGCUGUAAAUUUUGUUUUUCCAUUCAUUCUUCCAUUUCAAUAUAUUUUCAACUCCUCUCCUUAUAUCAUUCAAUCUUACUUCAACUUUAGAAUUUGAUGGGUCCAAUAUAUUGGCAAACUCAGCAAAUUACAUAGCAUCAUUUCAUCCAUCUGCGAUGAAAUAACAUUUGGAAUUAAAUGUAAUAUAUGCUAGCAUUAAAAAAAUUGUCCAAGUAGUCGACAAUAUUCUUGGGCAUAACGAGAAAAAAUAAAUAAAUAUGUUUUUACAAUUUAAAUCUACCAACUUUUAUUUGCAGUCUCUUUAAAAAAUGACAAAAUUAUAUCAUGAGUUAACAUAUUUGUUUUUUAUUUUUUUCUAGUCAUUUACUUAUUAUUUAUUUUUCUCGUCAUUGUCGAAGAAAAUUUUAAUUACAAUAUAAGACAAAAUUCUAAUGGUAUCAGAGCCUAACGUAUGUUUCAGGUCACCUACCAUAUUUAUAUUAAGGCAUUAAGUUUAAUAAUGUUGAGCGUGAGAGAUGCAUUGAAAAAAUCAAGUCACAUAUUGAUUAAAGACAAGACCCGACUAUAUUUUAAAAAGUGGCAAUAUAAAAAUCUAACAGAACUCCACUCUCUCUUUAAUGAAAGCCAAAUAUCAUAUAAUACUGUGAGGCAGCACCACAUGACUCAGUCUUAUAGAUAUAGCAUGCAGAAACACAAGAAAAUAUAUCGGCGGAGAAUUGUACCUUUGGAUUGAGUGAACCAAGAAAUUAUAUCGGCGGGGAAUUGUUGAGCUUCAACGUAAGAGCACUGGUCGGGGUCGUGUCAAACCCGUACGACACGANNNN
rnacentral:lncRNA from 1 species